rnacentral:rRNA from 1 species
UACGUAGGUGGCAAGCGUUGUCCGGAAUUAUUGGGCGUAAAGCGCGCGCAGGCGGUCCUUUAAGUCUGAUGUGAAAGCCCACGGCUCAACCGUGGAGGGUCAUUGGAAACUGGGGGACUUGAGUGCAGAAGAGGAGAGUGGAAUUCCACGUGUAGCGGUGAAAUGCGUAGAGAUGUGGAGGAACACCAGUGGCGAAGGCGGCUCUCUGGUCUGUAACUGACGCUGAGGCGCGAAAGCGUGGGGAGCGAACAGG